rnacentral:rRNA from 1 species
CCUACGGGUGGCAGCAGUGAGGAAUAUUGGUCAAUGGUCGUAAGCCUGAACCAGCCAAGUAGCGUGAGGGAUGACUGUCCUACGGGUUGUAAACCUCUUUUAUCAGGGAACAAAGUCGGGCACGUGUGCCUUUUUGCAUGUACCUUAUGAAUAAGGAUCGGCUAACUCCGUGCCAGCAGCCGCGGUAAUACGGAGGGUCCGGGCGUUAUCCGGAUUUAUUGGGUUUAAAGGGGGCGGAGGGGGGAUGUUAAGUUAGCCGUGAAAGGUUGGGGCUCAACCGUGAGAGUGCAGUGGAAACUGGCGGGCUGGAGUGGGCGAGAGGCAGGCGGAAUGCGUGGUGUAGCGGUGAAAUGCUUAGAUAUCGCGAAGAACCCCGAUUGCGAAGGCAGCUUACCGGAGCGACACUGACGCUGAGGCUCGAAAGCGUGGGUAUCGAACAGGAUUAGAUACCCCGGUAGUC